rnacentral:rRNA from 1 species
GACAGAGGGUGCAAACGUUGUUCGGAAUUACUGGGCGUAAAGCGUGUGUAGGCGGCUUUGCAAGUCGGAUGUGAAAGCCCCGGGCUCAACCCGGGAAGUGCACUCGAUACUGCAGAGCUUGAGUGUCGGAGAGGUUGGUGGAAUUCCGGGUGUAGUGGUGAAAUGCGUAGAGAUCCGGAGGAACCCCAGAGGCGAAGGCGGCGCCCUGGCUCGCAACUGACGCUCAGACACGACAGCAUGGGGAGCGAACGGG